AUGAACGCUGGCGGUAUGCUUAACACAUGCAAGUCGAACGAAAGCUUUAUGCUUUAGUGGCGAACGGGUGCGUAAUACGUGAGAAUCUGCCCUUAGGAGGAGAAUAACUUCUGGAAACGGUUGCUAAGUCUCCAUCUAAAGGUGGGGAUCUUCGGACCUGCCGCUUCAUGAUAAGCCCGCGGCCUAUCAGCUUGUUGGUGAGGUAAAAGCUCACCAAGGCUAAGACGGGUAACUGGUCUGAGAGGACGGUCGGUCACACUGGAACUGAGACACGGUCCAGACACCUACGGGUGGCAGCAGUCGAGAAUCAUUCACAAUGGGCGAAAGCCUGAUGGUGCGACGCCGCGUGGGGGAUGAAGUGCUUCGGUAUGUAAACCCCUGUCAUCUGCGAGCAAACCUUUUCGGUUAACACCUGGAAAGCUGAUAGUAGCAGAAGAGGAAGGGACGGCUAACUCUGUGCCAGCAGCCGCGGUAAUACAGAGGUCCCAAGCGUUGUUCGGAUUCACUGGGCGUAAAGGGUGCGUAGGCGGCAUGGCAAGUUUGGUGUGAAAGCUCCGAGCUCAACUCGGAAAUUGCACUGAAAACUGCCAAGCUCGAGGAUCGGAGGGGAGAGUGGAAUUCUUGGUGUAGCAGUGAAAUGCGUAGAUAUCAAGAGGAACACCGGUGGCGAAGGCGACUCUCUGGACAAUUCCUGACGCUGAGGCACGAAAGCUAGGGGAGCAAACAGGAUUAGAUACCCUGGUAGUCCUAGCCGUAAACGGUGCACGCUUGCUGUGGGCGGAUUCGACCCCGUCCGUGGCGGAGCUAACGCGUUAAGCGUGCCGCCUGGGGAGUACGGUCGCAAGAUUAAAACUCAAAGAAAUUGACGGGGGCCUGCACAAGCGGUGGAGUAUGUGGCUUAAUUCGAUACUACGCGAAGAACCUUACCUGGCCUUGACAUGCUUGUGGUAAAACCCUGAAAGGGGAAUGACCUCGCAAGAGGAGCUUGCACAGGUGCUGCAUGGCUGUCGUCAGCUCGUGUCGUGAGAUGUUGGGUUAAGUCCCGCAACGAGCGCAACCCUUGUGUCCUGUUGCCACCCGAGCGUAAGCUCGGAGCACUCUGGACAGACUGCCUCGCUUAAACGAGGAGGAAGGUGGGGAUGACGUCAAGUCAGUAUGGCCCUUACGGCCAGGGCUGCACACGUACUACAAUGCCUAAUACAAUGGGACGCAAUACCGUGAGGUGGAGCAAAUCCUUAAAAUUGGGCCCAGUUCGGAUUGUAGUCUGCAACUCGACUACAUGAAGCCGGAAUCGCUAGUAAUGGGGCAUCAGCUACGGCCCCGUGAAUACGUUCCCAGGCCUUGUACACACCGC
rnacentral:rRNA from 1 species